rnacentral:tRNA from 1 species
UCCCUGGUGGCUCAGAUGGUAAAGCGUCUGCCUGCAAUGCAGGAGAUGUGGGUUCGAUCCCUGGGUUGGGAA